CCCAGAGCUGUGUCCGGGUGGAAUCUGGUCUGGCCUCACAUGGCCAGCAGUGACCACCCCAGGGCGAUGUUCACUGUUAAACUGGAGGUGCCUGUGCCAGGAGAAGCCUGAGGAAAGACUCUGUUCCUGGGAGAGGCUGAGGCUCCCGGGAGUGUCUGGAGGGGCUGUCCUGGGAGCAGGACAGCAAGGAUUGUCCAUGAGGGGCCAGGGUGGUGCUAGGACAGCUUGGGCUAUGCCUGGGAGCUGGGACCUGUCACUGGUGCCAUGUGUGGAGGAGCCCCUCAGCCUGGUGAGGGCUCAGGCCAGGACUCACCACGUUCCCAUUCCCGGUGGAACAGGCUCUGCAUGAGGCGGGAUGCUGGAGGACACACCGGGGCCCGCUUGACCAACACUCUGAGGAGCAUUUCAAGUGCUUUUCCUAAAGCUGAAUUCUCUAUAAAGGAGAAGUGACUAGAAACCCUGAACUGAGUCCCAGGUCUCGCUUAACUUUGUAAGGCACAGUGACACACUGAGGCUGCUCCACUUAAGGUAUGGUAUGAACCAGGAGCUGUGGAAUGAGUGUUCACAUGGAUCAUCCUGCCUGUGGAAUGAGUGUUCACAUGGAUCAUCCUGCUGCAGCUAUUCCCGAGCCAGCAGCUGCUGUGUAAGCAGAGCCUAAAAGACAAUCCUUGCCCCAGUGACUGUGUGGCAGAUAAGACAGACAAUGGGCACAAGGAAGGCCCCUGGCUAUCAGGGAAGGAUGGAUACUGUUCAACCAGCUGGGAACAAAGAAACCUGGGCUGCUCCAGGCCCUGCAGGACUGAACCAGAGUGUCCUUCCCUGCCUGCUGGUUCCAGGAACGUGACACUUUGGGAACUGUUUGUGUCAGGACUCCCUGCUUUGACACCUUUGAUUUCUGAGACUGCCUCAUUUCAGGAAACCCCAGGGCUCCUCUCCACAAGGAUUUCCCCAUCCAGCAGCUCUCAUGUCUUCACUGGAUACUGAAAUGAGAUGGAAGGGUUUGAAUGUCCUUGGCAAGAUGGGUGGAUGGAAUUCGUUUAAUCUGUUCUGAUUCUGGUUCUACCAAGUCAACUGGACCCAAUCACCUCCUCUGCUAACAGGCUGCAGAGCAACAAUCUACUGGAAUAUUCUUUGUGCUGAGAACAGGAAGAUCUGGAAUGAGGGUUUGUAACUUUUUUGGAUGAGUUUCUAUGUUACAAUUUUUACCUUUGAUAUCACCACUUUAAAUAAGAAUAUUUAUUUGUUGAAAUAAACACAUUUUUUGCCCUGAAAUACUGGAACAUGCCUCCACAGCUUCUUCCUGCCUCAGCUCUGCUGCUGUGAAGAGAACCCACUUGUGGAUUUCAAAGUCAGAAGGACGAGCUGGAACCUCUAACAGAGGAUGUGCACAGAGCAAUUCCUGCAGUUCCUCCUGCAGCCAGGGCCCUGAUGAGUGGAUCUUUUCCUUACCUGCUCUAGGAACUCCUGUAUAAAUGUCUGACAAGCUCUUCCAGGGCUUUAUAACUUUGUGUCUCGUUCCUUAAGGCAAGCUGCAAGUUGCCUGCUUAUCCUUUUCCAUCUUGUAUGGCCUCUGUGGAUGGAACCCUUCCUGUGUGUGACUGCACGUGGUGGAGAGGAGAGCACGGGGGUUUGGGGCUAUUUUUAUCUGAUGUGUUCCCAAAGCAGCUCUCCCAGUUGCCACACUGCCUGUCAGAGUGGAGGGCUGGUGCAGCAGAGGUCUGUAGGGACACUUGGUACGUGGCCAGGGGAUCACAUGCAGGAUCCCUUGUGCACAUCCUGCAGUGGGAUCCAGCCCUGCUAGUCCCUCUUUAACACUUCAGGGCAUUCUCAGUAGACCCAUGAAUCCAUUUCUCAGUGCCCAGGUUAGGCCACCAAGACUUCAAGAGCAAAUCUGACUGGUUUUAGUUUUCUUUCUUUUUAAGGUUCAGCAUCACUGAGCACCUCCAAUUUAGCUUGAAAAAUAAAAUACCUAAAAUAAAGGUAUUUGAAAAGCACAUGCAGGUAAUCAUGGGGGUUUUUCAAACUCAGCCUCAGGUGAUGCCAUCAGCUUCUACUGCAGUUAAGCACUGCCCCAGACUUCCUUGAAGUUGGCAUCCCCAGUCUGUGCAAACCAUUAUGAACAUUAAAAUAGGCCCUGCUGAAAUAAAACACCCUGGUACUUGCAUGAACACAGUUUCCUGAAAAACAGGUAACAGCAGAAGAACUACACCUGAGCCACCAUUUGAGCUGCUUUUCACAUCUUUGGAAGGUGCAGAGCAUCCAGAUCAGUACUGGUGUUACCACAGCCCACAGAGAACAGACCCGAGGCAGCAGAGAGCAAAGAGUGCAGGGUGAGAUCCCAACAGGGAAAAGAAAAAAGUUAAAUUUCUCUUCAGGUACAAGCACUUCUGUUAAUGCCUUGCAGGCUGCAAGGAGGCUCCCACUGCAGGGGACACUUGCUGAACUGCCCUGCACCAUUACCAGCUGCUGUCAGGGCACAGCUCCUGUCCAGAGCAGUUUAAUGUGGUACAUUCAGUCAAACAGAAAUUGUAUGCCAGCCACAUAAAACAAGUGCAGGAAAUACAUUUUUCAGGCAAAUUUGUUGAUUUCUUUUUUUUGAAGCCCUGUGGUACUUUGCUGUAGUUUCAGAUAAAUAGCUGCUUCAGUGAGGAAAUAUAGUUAUUUAGGCAAACUUUUAUCAUAAUUUAUACCUUUGAUUUUCAGCAAGACUGAAGAAAUCCAAGCUCUCAAGGAAGCUGUAGCUUUAACAGGUCCUUAUUGAGCUUUGUCUUUUUAAUUGGCUACGUUUAACUAAGAGAACAUUUGCAGGCACUGGUGGAAAAGAAACUGCACCUUCUCCGGUGGGAUGGGUGGGCCAGCCUUCACACGAGCUGGACCCUGUUCUGGUGCCCAGUUUGUGUUGCCUGGGCUUCAAAGGUUGAUAUUUGGUACCUUUUAAAGAGGAAAAAAAACCAAAACAACCCCCCAGCAAAGUGAGCAGACUUCCCCUGAGCCACAAACUCAUCAGCUGAUCUAGGGCAGUGUGACUGUGCCUUUCUCUGCAACAUCAAGCUCAAAAACUUUAUGUCAUUGGAGCAGGAUUUGUCUCUUAACCUGGAAGGCUGGCAGUCAGAAAGUCCUCUCUUUACUGAGGCUGAUGCUGCUUUAGAUGCACCUUAAGGGAAAAAAAGAGAAAAAAAAAAUAAGAACGCCCCCCCACCCAAGCUGUUUCCUGACUAUUAAAGAGAGAAGGAAAAAAAUUCAUGGUAUUCUAUGUAAAUAACACAGUUGGGUGUAAUGAGUCAAAUCCCACAUUAUCACUGUCAGUUGUCCUCUUGGCUUUUUGUCAUGGUGCCCAUGACCUGACUCAGUUUGACAAAACCUGAAGGGGUCUCUGAUGACUCAUGUACCUGCAAAACCUCCCCUGUACUUUUAAGUUCAUAUUCCUGUAAACUUCACUUAUUCUCCCUGUAAACUCAGAUUGGUUCUUUAAGCUCAAUAGCAGAAUGUUCACAGACAAAGCAUGCAGAGAAAUUCAGAGAUGCAGCAUCCAGUUUGUAAAUCAGGGUACCAGCAGGCCCAUGGAGCUGGGCAUGAUGCCUUUAUUUAUUAGUCUGCAAUUAAGGGAAGGUGAUGAAGUUUCUUCUGAACACCCCCAGGCCCCUCAGGCUGCUCACCUGCCUCAUGAGAGAAGCUGAGUGCUACAAGGAUUCACUGUGCUCCUGAAUCUGUGGAGGAGCAAUUUGUUUUCUCCUUAAACUUCCUGUGACUUUUGCCCAGCAUUCUUAAAGGAAAAAUUAAAGACUUAGUGGUUCCUACAGCCUACCUGCAAAUAUACUCCUACUUCCACUUCUGCUGAUUCAUUCACUUCUCCCACAGCAGACUGACAUCCUAAUUAGUGCCAGCAUAUCCAAGAGGCAUUUUCAGUCAUCACACAAUGAAGUGGAACAGAAAAGGACCAGUGACCCAGUGGGGCCCAGUGCCAUUACACAGGACAGGUUUUGCCCACCAGUCUGUUGGCACUACAGAGGUUCCACGGUCCCUACAUCCCAGUUACAGAAUAUUCUGAUAUUUAUGCCUUGUGCUGUGUGUAGCACCAAGGCUUUUGCUCCAUGACGGAUGAGAAGCAAAUCUGUGGAUCCCAGCGUGUGGACUUCAAAGUACUUACAGCUCGCGCUUAAUUGGGGAAAGGAAGCCAAAGGAAAUCAUGUGCAUUGGAGUCAAAUACCAUUUUUAGGAGUGGGAACUGCCUGUGUAUUUCACCAGUGAUUAAAAUAGCCAGGGAUGAAGGCACACUCUUGAUUAAUGGUCUCUCUGUGAGCUGAGGACACGUCCUCCAGAGUCUGGCCCUCCUGAGAGACACCCCUGACGUGCCGCUGGGCCGAGCUCGGUUUAAAGGCACGAGCAGGAACUGGUUGGUUGGCUUUUAUCAUCCUUGCUGUGGAUCAGUUAUGUCUGGUGGCUUGAAUGAUUAUCUCCUACGUCUGAAGCGUGUGCUGUGUGUGAGUAGCUCUAACCCAACCUGGAGCAGGGAGCAGUGCUGCAUCCCUGCAGCCGUGUUCCCCUGGAAGGAGGUUCCCCGAGCUCUCCCUGGCAUGCUGGGCUGGUGCUGCAGUUGGAACAAGACCAACCAAAUGAUUAUUUUAAAGCCACUCAUUUUUUCUCUAUUCUUGUUCACAUUUUGUGACUCUGCUGCUUCUUAAACCCCUGCACGUCCCUCUGGGCAGUGGCAGCUAAACCACUGAGUAGUGGCUUUCUCCUGAUGGAGAAUCCUGUGGGACACAUGGAGGUGGGGGGGAGACUCUGACUCUAUCCUGUCCUCAUUACAGGACACAGGCUGGGCAGCUCAAGACCAGCUCAGCCCCUUUAGCAAUCCCUCCCAGCCAGUCUCAGUGGGGUAUGGCUGCAGGGCUGGCACUGUCCAGCUCCCUGAUUAUUUGAUGCCAGAGGGGAUGCUCCCCAGAGCUCCAGGAGCAGCUGUGAGCGGGCUCUGAGGGUUGUGGGGAGGGCUGAACCCCACACAGAAGGUGAGCUGGGGGCUGCUCCACACUCCACCCUCUCUCCCUGUGUGGCAAAAAGCACAGGCUUAACCUCUGCGUGCCUCCCACCCCAGCUGAACCAGAGAUAGGAAACUCUGUCUGUCUCAGUGGGUUUCUGCAGCACUUAAUUGAUUUGUGCUGCUAAACACCCCGCAGUAAAUGAGUCCAAGGUGUUAAAGGAGGAUGGGUUAGUGGGAAAGAUCCAGCUGAAGCACAGCUUAGAUAGGAACCAUGUGUGUGCUGGGACAGAGUGCACCCUCGCCCUGUUCCCAGCCCUGGUCCUGCACAGGGGGAUUAAUGCUUCACGGAAAUGCUGGCUUGUUUGCAGGCCUCUGGCUUGUCCUGGAGCAUCCCCGUGGCCCGAGUGUCCGGAGGGAUUUGCUGCUGCAGGAAGGAGCCCUGAGUGGCUCCAAGGAAUUCCCCAUUCCAGCCCUGUGCUGACACCACUGGUUUGCACAUUAAGGGUCUCUUUUCCUGCACAGAGACAACAAUACAAGGCAUUGCUGUAAGAACAACUUGAAAAAGACACAAACGAGCUUCUGGGAAUUCCUCAGGUUUUUCCAGCUGCAUAGGAGGGUGAAAACUGUCAGCUACAAAAAUAUUAUAGUUUAUGCUGUUAAACAAAUCAUCAUUUGUCAACAGGUAGCUGAAUUAUGUCCAAUUCUGCUGGCAGAGGCAGAACUGAUUUUGUUCCCAAUGCUAUUGUAUAGUUAACAGCUGGCAGCAAACUGGCAGUGAAGGCUGUGCUGGGCUGAUAAAUAACCCAACAAGCCUCACAGCAGAAGUAUCUCAUGGAGCGACUGCAGCUCACGCUGGAAUGUGUUGAACAAACGCUUGUUAACAAUCUAUGCACAGGCGGGGAACUGCUUGAUGAAAAGGUACUAGAAAAAUGUUAUUUAAGACACAGAUUUCCUAGGGGUAGCAAAAGAACAAACCAGGUUUUAGGCCUAAGAACACCAAACACAGCAGCAAAGCAGCAAAUGUUAGCAUUUCUCGCUCGCUGAAACCGAGAGUCUGGUAAUAAUGAGUGAAACGUCCCAACCAGUUUGAAGAUAUCAAAGGCAAGCCAGGAAACCAACAGAGAGAAAUAUUUCUGUAUUUGUUUCACAGCCCCCAAAUUCUGCUGGACAAUUUUCCACUCUUCCAGAUGUUUUCUGAGAGAGACAUGCUCUGAUUUCAAAUGCUGUGUUGCUUCUGAGCUGAUGAGGGCACACUGUGCCACCUGGGACAAGGCAAGGAGACAAGUGGAAAUGCCCCAUCAUGAGAUGCUGAUCAGGCUGGAGCCCCUCUUUCUGUUCUUAACACUGCUCUGGUUUUGUCUCUGCUCUGGUUUUGUCUCUGCUUUGCAGACAUUUUAUUUUUACCAUGGGUAAGAGCAGGAAUGUGUAUGUCUCUGUGAGAGAACGAGCAUGGGGCUGCAAGCUUCAUCUCAGUGCAAAUAAUAUUUUGGCAGGAAACCUGCAGGAGAUUAAAUUAGGGGCCUAACGACUGAAUAUUAAACAUUUCAAACUUCGAGUUCCUUUAAAUAAGCAGCUACAAAACAAGGAAGAGUCUGACAAAAUUAGCAGGUCCAAAGCACUAAAGGAAUCCACUAAGGAUCACUUGUUUACUAAUGCAAAUUUAAAAGGACCUUUUUCAUUAUUUUUAUUAGUAGCUGUGUAUGUCAACAUGCUAUUUCCUCAAUGCAUUUUGAGUCCAGAUUAGCUAAAGUUUUAGGUGUUGGCAGACUUGCUACAAUGGAAGGGAAAUGCCAAUGGAAUAACUUUAAACAUGAUCCAAUCCCUGAUGAUUCACUGGAUGUGUUAAAAUUUCCUUUGAGACCAUGUAAGUAAUGCAGGGACUGGAGUGCAGAGUGCCUGUGACUCAGCUCUCUGUGAGGCAGCGGGAGGAUGUCAGAAUUACUCACUGGGACAGGAGGAAUCUCAUUUAUCUAUUUAUAGGCAAGGCUGAGAUGAGCUUGUACCAUUAAAGAGCUGAGUUUGCCAGUUCCCAUAGGGGAGAAGGAAGGAAAGACCUCGCUUUAGCUGUUGAAAUAAAAGCCUCCUUUUUUUCCCCCCAUUUCCAGAGCUGAUGACUGGCCAGUUACAUUUUCCCUGCUUGCACAGGCAGUGCAGGGCUCCUCCUCCUUGUUAGAGGCCAGUGCCCACUUUGCCAAAAUCCUGUCUGCUGCACGUUUCUAGGAACACAAGGCUCUGGAUUACUGAUGCAGUCUCCUACUAUCACAACCAAUUACAUCACAUCAUGCUUUUUGGCAGGCUAUUCCAACACUUCAUUUUAAAUUUUCAGCCUUAAUAUCAUUUGUUCUUGUGCCAGCAUCGUAAUUUGGUUUAAACAAUUCUCUUCUUCCUCUGAUCUUCACCUAUCAGAUGUAUUUACUGAAAACAAUCCUAUCUGCUCUAGUCUUUGUUUUGAGAAGCUAAACAAAUGAAGCUCUUCUAGUCUCCUCUUGUUCUAAACCCUCUGAUCAUCCUCAGUGCCCUUCUCUGUACCUGCUAAUCUUCCUUGAACAUGAGUGAACCUGUAUCUUCUAGGACUGUGUUUGCCUUUCCAUAUCAGAUCGGUGGCUCACACUUAUCCCUCAGAGCAAGUAAUUCUCUGUAUGUUUUUUUUUCCACCACCCUGCUUUUGUCAUUCUCAAGUGAGUAACAUGAUAUUCUAGUUAUUAAUUUUUAACUGCAGGUCUUUAUGCUUUGUCUAAUCUAUCUCAAAUUCUGUCAUUCAGUUGAUGUUCUGAUCCCUCUCUGUAUCAGCAAAGCCUGUGUCGUCAGCAAAUUUCUUUUUGACAUUCCUACAGCUGUGCCAGAGUCAUUAACAGAACAAGUAAGACCUGCUCAAGACUGACCCUUGAAGAAUUCCACUUUCUAACUGCCUCUGUCCUGCAUUUCUCCUUCCCACAGAGCUCCCUGUCCUUUACCCCAGCAGUUCUGCAUUUGCCAUCCACACUAAUCCCCAUCUUCUCAACUUCAACUAGUAAUUUCCCAUGUGGUGUAAUAUCAGAUUCUUGACUCAAGUCUGGAUAGAGUAAAAUCACCUGUAUUUCAUUUGUCUAGGAAAAAAAAAUCAGUCAUCAAAGAGAAAUAUGAGGUUAAGCUGAGCUCCUUUAAUGUGCCAGUUCUUUCCAAAUCCUGGGGUGGAAAUCUGCCAGUGCACCUUGAUCUGAGCACAUGGAAUUCUUUAAGCUUUUCCUUCCGUCUUACAUGUGAUAAUUUUCAUUCCCUUAAGUAUGUGCCUACUAGAAAUGCUGUCUUUGCCCCGCUGUUCAAUAUGAUCAUCUCUACUGAAAAUGCAGGCAAAGUGGUUUUAGUUCAUUUUGGACCAUGUGUAGCCUGGUCUAAUCUCAACCCCCUUCUCACUACAUAAUGACCACAUUUCUCCUCUUUUCCUCUUCUGUAUUUAUCGAGCUGAAACCUUCUGCCAUCUGUUUCAUUUCCUCUUCAAAGUCUGAUUCACAACUUCAUUACUGACAUUUCUCAUUCUACCCCUACAUUUUCUGACCUCAGCAAAUUAAAACGGGAUGACUGAGGCAAACAGUGCCUCCAGUCUCACCCCACCGCUCUGCUCCAGUGCCACCCUCGUGGCAAAGAUGACAGAGCAGCUCCUAAAGCAGGUGGGGAACUGCAGGGCUGAGCACUUCACCGGCACAGCAGCGGCUCUUCAGGACCUGCUGCAGGAGCAGUUCUGUCAGUUCAGUCAGCCCUGUGGGAGGGUGAUGGGCAGGGGCAGGGGGUCCUCCCCUGCAGUGCUCCCCUCCAGAUGUCUGGUCUCGUCCCUGGUGCACGUGAACUGAACAGCCCAUUGCUGCCCACACCUUCUGCCCAGGCCUUGCCUGCGCUCAGCUGACUCCGCGUGUGUUUGGGGCUGCUUAUUUAUCCCACUGGUUUCGGAGUGUUUCCCUUCAGGGUUCGUCCUCCUGCAUGUUCCAACGAGUUUUGGAAUCCAGUUUCCAUCACAUUCAACUCCUCAGCUCCUCAGUGCUGUUGGUUCCACUCAUUAGUUCCCUUAAUUUCUCAACAUUUGUCCUUUUUGAGAUGAAUGUUUGGUGUGUGACUACAGACAGUGCUGGAGAUUCAGCCCUAAUGAGGUACCUUUAAAAGCUCCUCUUUCUCAACCAGGGUCUUCAGAGGCUCUGGAUGACUCAGAGCUCAGCACUUUAGAGACUGAAAGAACUUCACUUGCCUUUCUUGUGUGUGUGAGGCACUGUAACCCUUCUCAGGAUUAACUAGAUUUUCAUUGAAGGACAACUGAGACAUAAAGAGCCUAAAGAUAACACUUCAGAAGAUACUCCACUGUAUGAGCUAAGUGCACAGAGGUGAAAUACAAAGCUUCCUAACCCCUCUGAGAUCACUACAGCAGUCAAACCUUGCUCACCUGAAUGCCAGGUGCCUGUGCCAAGCUAUUUGCUUUGAAUUUUGUCUAGUUUCUUGAAGAAAGCAAAGCACAAUCCAGGCUGUGGAUUGACCUGUCGCAGACACGCUUAGGACGGGCUUAGCUGAGACUGGCCACACAGGUCAGUGUUAGAAAAGAGGAGCCAAGCCCCCAGAACACUUCACAAAAACGUACUUGUCACCUGAGCACCUUUAAAAAUCACUGUCAGGUAGGUUACCUGUACUCAGAGUGGGAUUUGAAGCUCAGCAGUCAGUCACCCACCCACUGACUUUCCCUGCUCCCUUGAGACUCGCUCUGGGAUCCUGCCCAUGGACACAUUCUUGUUUCACCUGCUUCCUGAGCUGCAGGACAGCAGCAGCACAGUGUGAGUGACACCACCACAGCACUGAGGCCAUGCUGCCAUCCUGCAGAGAUGGAAGCUCUUCCACUGGCAAACUGGUGCAUGUUCAAGCCCCACAGAAAGAGAUGAAAUGACAGAGAAAAGCAAAUUUUUCUCCUUUCCAUGAAUAUACUUGAAAAUACUCUGCAGUUGAAGAAAAAUAUGCCCCUCUCCCAGAGCAUGUCUGCUUUGACUGCCCAUUGCUCUGCUGGGCACCUACUGACCUUGGCAGGGUCACAGGACUCGUGUUUGUCUAAAAAAGUAACCUCCUUGUGAACAGGCUCUUUGCUUUGGGAAACACAAAGCAGUCUUGUCUUCCAAGUGUCCAAGCCUUCUUUUCACGUCUGUUUAGUCCUUCAGCAGCAUUUAUUUUUGGCCUUGAGAGAAAAACACAACUCCACAUUAAAGGGGUGGUGUCCAGUUAAACCCACAGGCUGCACCAACCCUUUGCUCCCCCUUUGCAGGAGAAGGCAGUGGAGGAGCCCAACAAAGAACAGGAGAAAACUCUAUUGCCUGUUGGGCACAAAGCUGCUUUUGCUUUCGAGUGAAAAGGGGCAGAGCAUCCUCAGAAGCACAGAAAAACUGGCCAAACAGGCCAGAGCCUGGAUGCCUGAGGCUUUUUAGUAAUAGUAAUAACAAGUCCAGGGGCCACAUUUCCAUUUGUCCUGGAAAGCCUUUCCAGCUAGGAUCGCUCAGGGCAGGGAGACACCGAUGUUCCACAGUGUUGUUCUCAGUUUGUGGUGGGUCUGACUCUGGCAAUCCCAGACUUUAGCAUAUCACCUAUCGGGGACACCAAAUCAGAAACACAGCCGUCUGUGCCUGUCCCACAGUGAGCACAGCCCUGCCAGCACUGCAGGACAAGGCUGUUGGUGCUGUGUGUGGGAGCUGAGGAGGGGCUGCAGGUCACCUCUGCCUCCUGAGACCAGGCCAGCUGCACACACACGUCCUGCUCAAGGCCAGUGCUGAGCCACAGUGCUCAGUGGGUUGUGCUCACCUGUCUGCAGAGCAGGGGUGUUCACACGCCCGUGCCAGCUCUGUGCCCCUCAGCUCCAGCAGAGACCUGUGACUGUGUGUGGCCUGAGGUGGCUGCACAGGGGUCGUCUAAGGGCUCACAAAGCUGAAGCCUGAGGCACGAAGUUCAAGGCAGAGGUCCUGUAUGGGCAGUGUGUGUGGUCAAGACCUGCAUUCCUUUGGGGAGAGGCAGAGGAGGAGCAGGACUGCAUCAGGAGCUUUUUGGGCUGGAUCUGCAAGAGGAAAUAAGCUCAGUUUGGCCACAACUAUGUUUCGGGCUAGCUGUCAGCAUCCAGCAUCCCAGGUCAGGGAGCUGUGCUCCCUCCUAUAGGACUGACUGAGCUGGGCCCCUGAGAACAGUCAUGAGAGCACCCUGCUCUCCAGACCUACGGGCCAGAGACCACAGCCCUGCCCACUGAAACCGGGGGGACUCUGCCACAGGCCUGACUCACCCCCCUCCUGCAGCAAUCCCUGAUCUUGUAGGUCCACUGAAUUCAGUGAAAUUAGAGCCAUCAGGCCCUGGAUGUCCAUGAAGGCAUGGCUGGGCCCAAGGAAAUGGAGGCAGCAACUCCUGGACACGAUGGAAGCUGAAAUCCCAGGAAAGCCUGUGUCUGCCUGACGCUGAGCGAGUUAGCGGAAUAUUAACAACGCCUCACUCAGAGUAAGUGCUUCUGGAUGCCUGGCUGACUUUGGCAAGGGGCACUUUGAGAAGGAUAAAACUGCAUUUUCAUUGCUGAGAAUCCUCCUCCAGUAAUAAGAUGUGCCCCGUGGGAUGCUGGUAACAUAUUGGUAUUGUCUGCAGAGUAGCUGGGGGCGAAGGGCUGACAGUGCUCAACCCUACACACGGAACACCCCUCAGUGUCACCAUCCAGACCCAGGAUUUACAAGCACACAGGCAGCCACAGGUAGGCUGUCCAGCUGUCCUCCAAUUACUCUGGGAAUUUAGAAAAAAAAAACCAACCCAAAGCCCUAAGUAAUUUUGUAUUCUUUCCUUUGCAUAUAAAGCGUCAUUAGAAUAAUUAGAAAAACAGAUGCAUUGUAUCAAUAACUGACAAAUUAAGAAUUCAGUCAUGGUUGUUCAGGAACCCACUGCCUCCUUGCAAUACCAAUAAUGAUUAUUUAUAGACUGCUCUGCAAGGAAAGUAGUCCAGAAAAAUAGAACUAUUAUAAUGUUAAGCAGUCAUCCCCAGAGAGGAUUCUAGUGCAAGACGUAGCCGAGAUCUCACACCAUUUUCUUGUCUCGAAUUAUAAACUUUAUUGUAAGCACUGUUUGUGUAUUUUGUACAGAACGUCCCGGUUCCUCUAUAACAAGUAUCCAUUUUAUUCCUGCUGAAUUUCAUUGAACUUGCCCCUGAUUUAUAAGAGGCAGAUCCAUAUUAGUGCUUUAUAGAGUGAUCUCUUAGCUGCCUAUUCACAAGGCUGUGCAGCCUGGCAGAAGAAUGAGCGGAGGGAAUGAGCUGGGUGGCAGACGAGCUAUUAGUCUGAUGAUAUCACCAUAGCAUCUGGAGCAGUUACACGCAGCACUAACACAGGGGAUGAGAAAUUCUCUGCUCUUGAAAAGAGCUAACAAAGAAAACACACAGAGGGUGGGAGCUGUGGAAGAGCCACAGAACACAGAAGGAGCUGUACAAUGUCACAUCGCAGGAACUGAGAGAGGCAGGAGCAGAAUCCUCGUCUCAGCUCUCUCCAGCUUCAUGCUGCCUUUGCUCCUUUCUGGUUCUGCAUGUGGAUGUACAGAUCUUUAACUGGAUGUUCAAUCCAGAAAAAGGAAAUAAAUUUUUUUCUCAUUUGUCAAGAGAACCAGCUUUCUGCUAAUUUUGCAAACAAAUCCUUUCCCGUGAUUAACACCUGUCUCCUCUGCUCAAGACAUCAGUCUCUGCUAAUAAAGCAAAGUUCUCUUCUCA